GUGGGGAAUAUUGGGCAAUGGGCGCAAGCCUGACCCAGCCAUGCCGCGUGAGUGAUGAAGGCCUUCGGGUCGUAAAGCUCUGUGGGGAGGGACGAAACCGCCGGGUGUGAACAACGCCGGGCCUUGACGGUACCUCCUUAGCAAGCACCGGCUAACUCCGUGCCAGCAGCCGCGGUAAUACGGAGGGUGCAAACGUUGCUCGGAAUCAUUGGGCGUAAAGCGCACGUAGGCGGCCGCGCAAGUCGGAUGUGAAAGCCCCCGGCUCAACUGGGGAAGAGCACUCGAAACUGCGCAGCUCGAGUAUGGAAGAGGGUCUCGGAAUUCCCGGUGUAGAGGUGAAAUUCGUAGAUAUCGGGAGGAACACCAGCGGCGAAGGCGGAGACCUGGGCCAAUACUGACGCUGAGGUGCGAAAGCGUGGGGAGCAAACAGGAUUAGAAACCCCGGUAGUCC
rnacentral:rRNA from 1 species